rnacentral:lncRNA from 1 species
CCUUAACAAGGCCCAUUGACUCCUAACUUAUACCACAUGAAUCUACGAUUAAUUAAACACAUUCACAACACAAUUGAGCAUCGGGGAAAAGGUAAUAUACUCAAGCAUUUCAAUUUAUAACAAUUCUAACUAUGUCAUCAAUGUUACUAACUUUGCAAUUAAAUAAAUUACUAUUCUUGGAACUUCUGCCAAGACUACUUAAAGAAACCCACCUGAGAUUCCAGCGUCACCGAGCUUCUCCGUACGCUCUCAAGUAUCCGUUCGUGUAGUUGUGCGCGUAAAACUCGCAGUCCAAAACCAGAAAUUGACAGCAUCAGAACCUCAAUUCAGAAGCGUGUCCCAACUUCAAUAUUGGUCGAAAUUAUACGAGAUUGACGCCCAAACGACGGGAAUUUCGUCGGCUUUCCAGACAUGUAAAUACCGUUCAAAACUGGGUUAUGGUUUGACAAAUACAGCUCAAUUACUGGACAUAGGUCUAUACGAAAUUAUGCAGAAUUUCUUACCUUCCAACAAAUCUUUUACUUCCAACUCCUGAGCUUAAUGCUUCCAUCAGCACCCAAGUCCUCUUAAUCCUUCCAAACCUUAACUUAGUUACUUAUCUUUCUAUUGAUUGAAAAUGGUGGAUUCAAGCCUUAAUUCACGCAUGCAUGCUUCAUUUGGAAGAGAAUUAACUUGUCCCACUUACAUGGUGUUUUUAACCUUGACAGAGGAUGAAGAAAGAAUCCGGGCUGAAACUCGUGUCCACCAUGUUCCAACGGUGAUGGGUUGAGAGAAAAUGUGCAUGCAAGACUUGUGGGUUGAAGGAUUUAGGAGAAAUUGAAAAAUGGAGUUUUUGAGUGAUGGAGGGAGUGGUUCGGUUCUGGACAGAUGAGAAGGAAGGAGUCUUGUGAUUUUCUG